rnacentral:lncRNA from 1 species
AUUCAUAGUAACAUAUACUGGAAUGACCCAUACUCUAGAUGGAGUCACGAGUAUCUGUAGCAGCCCCGAAAAUUUAAAAUGGAAAUUAUAUUAUAAAUAUCAAAUGCGGAAGCGAAGUCAAAAUUUGAAUAACAUCCCUUACACUAAAACCAAAAACGUGCUCGCAAAAUAUAAAAGAUUAAACUACCUAAAGGAGAAACUUGAAAGUAAAAACUACUAAUGUGACUAUGGAGUCUUUAGGCGUCCCCUUCGUCGUCCUCCUGCGGAACCGGC